rnacentral:rRNA from 1 species
CGAACUGUGCGAACGUUAUUCGGAAUCACUGGGCUUACAGGGUGCGUAGGCGGCCGAACAAGCCAGGUGUGAAAGCCCUCGGCUCAACCGAGGAACUGCGCUUGAAACUGUUUGGCUCGAGUCAACUAGAGGUGCACGGAACUUCCAGUGGAGCGGUGAAAUGUGUUGAUAUUGGAAGGAACACCGGAGGCGAAAGCGGUGCACUGGGGUUGGUCUGACGCUGAGGCACGAAAGCCAGGGGAGCGAACGGGAUUAGAUACCCCGGUAGUCCUGGCCGUAAACGAUGAGUGCUGGACGGGAGGGGGUUCGCCCUUUCCGGUCGGAGCGAAAGCGGGAAGCACUCCGCCUGGGGAGUAUGGUCGCAAGGCUG